UACGUAGGGGGCAAGCGUUGUCCGGAUUUACUGGGCGUAAAGAGCGUGUAGGCGGCCAAGCAAGUCCGUUGUGAAAACUGGAGGCUCAACCUCGAGACGCCGAUGGAAACCAUCUGGCUAGAGUCCGGAAGAGGAGAGUGGAAUUCCUGGUGUAGCGGUGAAAUGCGCAGAUAUCAGGAAGAACACCCGUGGCUAAGGCGGCUCUCUAGUACGGUACUGACGCUGAGACGCGAAAGCGUGGGGAGCGAACAGG
rnacentral:rRNA from 1 species